GCAGUGGUAGUUCAGUGCUAGAAUUCUUGUCUUCUGUGCAGCAGACCGGGGUUAGACUCCAGGCCAAUGCA
rnacentral:tRNA from 1 species